GACGAACGCUGGCGGCGUGCCUAAUACAUGCAAGUCGAACGCAGUGGGGACGGGUGAGUAACACGUGGGUAACCUCCCAUCAGAGGGGAUAACACUUCGACACAUGUGCUAACCCUAUACUGAUGGAUGGAGCCGCGUUGCAUUAGCUAGUUGGUGGGGUAACGGCUCACCCACGCCACGAUUCAUAGCCGGCCUGGGAGGGUGAUCGGCCACACUGGGACUGGGACACGGCCCAGACUCCUACGGGAGGCAGCAGGAGGGAAUCUUCGGAAAUGGACGAAAGUCUGACCGAGCAACGCCGCGGGAGUGAAGAAGGUUUUCGGGUCGUAAAACUCUGUUGAUAGAGAAGCGGUAUCUAACCAGAAAGCCACGGCUAACUACGUGCCAGCAGCCGCGGUAAUUC
rnacentral:rRNA from 1 species